GCCGGUUACCAUAUCACGUUGAAAACGCCGGUCCUUGUCCGUCCACCACAGUUAAGCAUCAUUGAGCCCGGUCAGUACUUGCAUGGGUAACUGGUU
rnacentral:rRNA from 1 species